rnacentral:rRNA from 1 species
AUGACAAACUGGUUUCGCCAAGUUGCCCUCCUUGCUGGUCGCCAAGUUGACCAGAAGCUGCACAUGAAGAAACAACGAGCACUAAUCAUGAUCAAUGGAGUUCCUGGAGAUCGUAUAAACUAUGUGCGAGGACUGCGACAAGGAGACCCCAUCUCCCUGAUGCUCGUCGUCAUUGCCAUGGAGGCCCUCACAGCGCUUAUAUCCAAAGCUGAAAGAUCUGAUGUCCUGAGCGCUUUGCCAGGUCUGCGGAUCAACUGUACAAAAUCUUCGGCCAUUGUGGCCAGAGGGGAUCACCGUGACCAUGAUGAGGAGAGGAUCGCUCCUAUCCUACAGCGUUCCAUUGGCGCUUUUCCCUGCAAGUAUUUGGGGCUUCAGUUAGCUAUUUUAUCUCUCACUGAAGCUGAAUGGCAGCCUACCCUGGAUUCCAUUAGGGCCUGUGCCCCAGCAUGGCAACGAGGCCUCAUAAACAGAGCCGGCAGACUGGUCCUUGUGGAUUCAGUCCCAUCUGCUCGACCAACUCAUCGUUUGCUGAUUUCUGAAGCUCCGAAGUCGGCAAUUCUUCAACUUGAAAGGUGGCUGUGUGCAAUCCAUCGUAUAAAUUUCGGAUGUCCAAGCCUCCAAAGCUUUUUAGGUUUGCAAUCGUUCUUCCAGGAAAUCGCGUUUGCUUCUCAUAUUUGUGUUUCUUUUGAACAACACUCAUUUCAACGUAUUUCGUCUUGA